UACAGAGGUCUCAAGCGUUGUUCGGAUUCAUUGGGCGUAAAGGGUGCGUAGGCGGCGCGGUAAGUCGGGUGUGAAAUCUCGGAGCUUAACUCCGAAACUGCAUUCGAUACUGCCGUGCUUGAGGACUGGAGAGGAGACUGGAAUUCCUGGUGUAGCGGUGGAAUGCGCAGAUAUCAGGAGGAACACCGGUGGCGAAGGCAGCUCGCUGGGACGUGACUGACGCUGAGGUGCGAAAGCGUGGGGAGCAAACAGG
rnacentral:rRNA from 1 species